rfam:Archaeon GW2011_AR3 QS98_C0013, whole genome shotgun sequence.
AGCCCCGUAGUGUAGCGGCCAAUCAUCCGACCCUCUGGAGGUUGGGACCCAGGUUCGAAUCCUGGCGGGGCUA